rnacentral:rRNA from 1 species
ACGCGAAGAACCUUACCAGGUCUUGACAUACUCGUGCUAUUCCUAGAGAUAGGAAGUUCCUUCGGGACACGGGAUACAGGUGGUGCAUGGUUGUCGUCAGCUCGUGUCGUGAGAUGUUGGGUUAAGUCCCGCAACGAGCGCAACCCUUAUCUUUAGUUGCCAUCAUUAAGUUGGGCACUCUAGGUUGACUGCCGGUGACAAACCGGAGGAAGGUGGGGAUGACGUCAAAUCAUCAUGCCCCUUAUGAUUUGGGCUACACACGUGCUACAAUGGACAUUACAAAGGGCAGCUAAGCCGCGAGGUCAUGCAAAUCCCAUAAAGUUGUUCUCAGUUCGGAUUGUAGUCUGCAACUCGACUACAUGAAGCUGGAAUCGCUAGUAAUCGUAUAUCAGCAUGCUACGGUGAAUACGUUCCCGGGUCUUG